GACGAACGCUGGCGGCGUGCCUAACACAUGCAGGUCGAACGGAAAGGCCCUGCUUUUGUGGGGUGCUCGAGUGGCGAACGGGUGAGUAACACGUGAGUAACCUGCCCUUGACUUUGGGAUAACUUCAGGAAACUGGGGCUAAUACCGGAUAGGAGCUCCUGCUGCAUGGUGGGGGUUGGAAAGUUUCGGCGGUUGGGGAUGGACUCGCGGCUUAUCAGCUUGUUGGUGGGGUAGUGGCUUACCAAGGCUUUGACGGGUAGCCGGCCUGAGAGGGUGACCGGCCACAUUGGGACUGAGAUACGGCCCAGACCCCUACGGGAGGCAGCAGUGGGGAAUAUUGCACAAUGGGCGGAAGCCUGAUGCAGCAACGCCGCGUGCGGGAUGACGGCCUUCGGGUUGUAAACCGCUUUCGCCUGUGACGAAGCGUGAGUGACGGUAAUGGGUAAAGAAGCACCGGCUAACUACGUG
rnacentral:rRNA from 1 species